rnacentral:rRNA from 1 species
AACAAACGCUGGCGGCGUGUCUUAAGCAUGCAAGUUGAGCGGCAAGGAGGAGAGAUCCUCCCUAGAGCGGCGGACUGGUGAGUAACGCGUGGGUAAUCUAUCUUAGGCAUGGGGAUAGUCACUAGAAAUAGUGGGUAAUACCGAAUAAGUUCCAUAAGGGGAGGACUUAUGGAAGAAAGGUGCUACGGCACUGGCCUUAGGUGAGCUCGCGUCCCAUUAGCUAGUUGGUGAGGUAAAGGCCCACCAAGGCGAUGAUGGGUAGCCGGCCUGAGAGGGUGUACGGCCACACUGGGACUGAGAUACGGCCCAGACUCCUACGGGAGGCAGCAGCUAAGAAUAUUCCGCAAUGGACGGAAGUCUGAUGGAGCGACGCCGCGUGGAUGAAGAAGGCCGAAAGGUUGUAAAGUUCUUUUGCUAGGGGAGAAUAAGUGUGGGAGGGAAUGCCUGCACGAUGACAAGGACUAGCGAAUAAGUCCCGGCCAACUACGUG